rnacentral:rRNA from 1 species
GGAAUUGUUCGCAAUGGGCGCAAGCCUGACGACGCAACGCCGCGUGGAGGAUGAAGAUCUUCGGGUCGUAAACUCCUUUCGAUCGAGACGAACGGCCUCCGGGUGAACAAUCCGGCGGCGUGACGGUACCGAGAGAAGCAGCCCCGGCGCACCCCGUUCCCGCAGCCGCGGUAAUACGGGGGGGGCAAGCGUGGUUCGGAAUUACUGGGCGUAAAGGGCUCGUAGGCGGCCGACUAAGUCAGACGUGAAAUCCCUCGGCUUAACCGGGGAACUGCGUCUGAUACUGGAUGGCUUGAGUUCGGGAGAGGGAUGCGGAAUUCCAGGUGUAGCGGUGAAAUGCGUAGAUAUCUGGAGGAACACCGGUGGCGAAGGCGGCAUCCUGGACCGACACUGACGCUGAGGAGCGAAAGCCAGGGGAGCAAAC